AAUAUGAUGAAGUAUUCAAACUCAGCUCUAUGAAAUCUGUGAUUACUCAAUUUGAUUUCUCACGACAGUCUUCUGACA
rfam:Dictyostelium discoideum AX4 chromosome 5, whole genome shotgun sequence.